rnacentral:rRNA from 1 species
UACGUGGGGUGCGAGCGUUAAUCGGAAUUACUGGGCGUAAAGCGUGCGCAGGCGGCUUCUCAAGUCAGGUGUGAAAGCCCCGGGCUUAACCUGGGAAUUGCGCUUGAAACUGGGGGGCUGGAGUGUGGCAGAGGGAGGUGGAAUUCCUGGUGUAGCGGUGAAAUGCGUAGAUAUCAGGAGGAACACCGAUGGCGAAGGCAGCCUCCUGGGCCAACACUGACGCUCAGGCACGAAAGCGUGGGGAGCAAACAGG